UACGAAGGGUGCAAGCGUUACUCGGAAUUACUGGGCGUAAAGCGUGCGUAGGUGGUUUGUUAAGUCUGAUGUGAAAGCCCUGGGCUCAACCUGGGAACGGCAUUGGAAACUGGCUUACUAGAGUGCGGUAGAGGGGUGUGGAAUUCCCGGUGUAGCAGUGAAAUGCGUAGAUAUCUGGAGGAACACCGGUGGCGAAGGCGGCAUCCUGGACCAACACUGACACUGAGGAGCGAAAGCCAGGGGAGCAAACGGG
rnacentral:rRNA from 1 species